CAGGGGAGUAAAAAGAAAAGAUGACUACAGGCAGAGACACCUGAAGAAUUUUUCAAAGAACUUCCCCAUCUUCUCCUUGGCCAGCCCCACAGAUGCUGUGACAAUCACUCGUGGAGUGGGCUUAUUCAACAUGAAGAUGAUGAGAAUGAGGACUUUGUGAUGAUCUUCCGCUUAAUAAAUGAUCAGCGGAGCAUCACUGGCUGUGUGGGGCUCCCUCCAGUAAGUAGGUCUAGGACCUUAGCCGCAUCUGCUGCUCAUCCCACAUCUUGACAAAAGUACACAAGAACCUCUAGUGCUUCCAUGUCUCCAAAUGCCAUCUCCAUUACACUUCAAAAUGCACCCCCAACCUAGGAUGAUUGGGCUGUCCUUCUUAGCUGAUAAAAACAGCAGAAAAACUUGAUUUGUUUUCUUUAUUUCUGUCAACUAUUGCUAUCAGGUAAUAUGCAGUAUGUUUAACCCUCUGAAACAUGAAACCCCUGUAAGUAAGUAAUCCAGGACACACACCUCCUGUAGCACUGUGUCCUACUCAGUCUUAGUCCAGCUAAAUGUGGAAGUGUAUGCACAUUUGGAUCUUUCUAGACAUUUUCUGUAAGUACCAUAAGAGAAGCAUAAGGCAUCCCCAUUUGAUUGUUAGAAGGCUAGCUGGUUUGCAAGAAAGGGACAGAACUUGGAAGAGGCUAGGGCCAGUCCUUGUGAGGCCACCACCAGCAUCAUCUCUGCCAGAUCAUGACACGCCACUGCAGCUGUGCCACUUCAUCCAUCCCUUACACAGCCUCCUCAAGGAGUUCUCCUGGCACAGCACAUACCCUGCUUACUGCAGAGCAUGUGAGGCCCUUGGCCAAGCACAGCGACUCACACCUGUAAUCCCAGCACUUUGGGAGGCCAAGGUGGGCGGAUCACCUGAGGUCAGGAAUUCGAGACAAGCCUGGGCAACAUGGUGAAACCCCGUCUCUACUAAAAAUACAAAAAUUAGCCAGGCAUGGUGGUGUGUGCCUGUAAUCCAGCUAUUCAGGAGGUUGAGACAGGAGAAUCGCUGGAAUCCAGGAGAUGGAGGUUGCAGUGAGCCGAGAUCAUGCCACUGCACUCCAGCACUCCAGCCUGGGCAAUAGAGCAAGACUCCAUCUCAAAAAAACAAAAAACAAAACAAAAAAACCUGUGAGACCCAUGCUCCGGGGGACUGGCCUUGCCAGGUCUUGAACUUACAGGUAGAACAAGUGGUAACCACAGAAAGACUUGAUCCUAUUUUAAUAACCUGAUUCUCAUCUCUUACGACCACAAAGUAUGCUUAUCCUUCUACGUCGAUGUCCGCAUUGGUCUGGGACCCUGACUACUCCUAGGGAAGAGGAAUCAGACUGCCCUUCUAAGUGGUAUCUAUACUUUCAAGGACAAGGGUGCCUUGUAUGAAAGACCAAGGGUCAUUUCUUAUCUUUCCUUAUGCAAGCAGUUGGUUUUGCAGGACCAGCCAUGGUUCCCUGGAGACCCGGCCCAACUUCUGGUACAAAGUAGAGAACUGGACAA
rnacentral:lncRNA from 10 species